rnacentral:misc_RNA from 1 species
AACGGUCUAUACCUGCGGUACCUGCGGAGGGAUCAUUACUGAGUAACGUGGUCUUUUAGACCCGGUACCCGCCCUUUGUCAUAUGUUGGACGAGGUCGUCUUUAGGGGCGGCCUCCGACCCCACUUCCCGGGAAGCGUUGCGCCUCAUCAGGUCUAGGCCUUUGAUGAGGAUGGGACCGCCCGGGGUCUUUUUCAAACCCUUUGUGAGAAAUCUGAAGUCUGAAGCGAAAGCUUAAAAUA